AUUGAACGCUGGCGGAAUGCUUUACACAUGCAAGUCGAACGGUAGAGGGGGCAACCCCUCGAGAGUGGCGAACGGGUGAGUAAUAUAUCGGAACGUGCCCAGUCGUGGGGGAUAACGUAGCGAAAGUUACGCUAAUACCGCAUACGAUCUAAGGAUGAAAGCGGGGGAGCGCAAGACCUCGCGCGAUUGGAGCGGCCGAUAUGAGAUUAGGUAGUUGGUGGGUAAAGGCUGACCAAGCCAACGAUCUGUAGCUGGUCUGAGAGGACGACCAGCCACACUGGAACUGAGACACGGUCCAGACUCCUACGGGAGGCAGCAGUGGGGAAUUUUGGACAAUGGACGCAAGUCUGAUCCAGCCAUUCCGCGUGCAGGAUGAAGGCCCUCGGGUUGUAAACUGCUUUUGUACGGAACGAAAAGGUCUCUCUUAAUACGGGGGACUCAUGACGGUACCGUAAGAAUAAGCACCGGCUAACUACGUGCCAGCAGCCGCAGUAACAC
rnacentral:rRNA from 1 species